rnacentral:rRNA from 1 species
UACAUAGAACGCUAAGAAACACACGGCCAAUGUAGACGCCCAUGCCGACGUGCUCAAGUACAGACAGUAAGUGUGUACGUUUAACACUACGGACGACGAACGCUGUCAAAGCGGGGACAACCUAAGUUUGAACCAAGACUUUUCGUGUGGUGUCUCCAGUGGCACUUCUUCAGACCUUCGGACGAAUAUUUAAGACCCUAUGUUCCUAUGAGGGACGAUUUCUGUUGAGUCAGACCUAAACUUCCUAAGUACUCCCUAGCGAUGUGAGAAGAAGGACUUUGUUCUCUUUCUUAACAUCGAUGUCUUCAUUGACGAACCACCUCUACUCUCCGACCUUACAAGGUAGGUUUAUCAAAUUAGUCUUUGACGUGACCGUUUCCAGAUCUCCUACAUCUCCUCGAGGUCAAACUAGGAUUCCUACCGUAACGAAAAAAAGAAGAAUACGAGGUCAAACGUCGUCGUAGAGGCUGUGGGAGAGCUGCUUAACGUCCAUCUAACAUCGACUCCUACGCCGCUACUGGUGGCUCCUGGCCUCACGUACGAGCCACCGUCUUCGUAGUCCCACGAGGUGCGAGUUGUAGAAGAGUCGUAUCGACGAGCUAGUCAUCAAAACUAACUAGAUAAACUAUUAAAUUCGGUAGGUCAACUACAAGAACCAAGCGAGUACGAGAAAAGAAUACAACAACAAAUUAGUGAUAACCGAACCUAUAAGAGAUAUCGUAGAGUUGUUAAGUGACGUUGACCGGUCCAAUAAGACAUAUAAACUAUGACAUGCUCUCAUCGUCAGCCUGAGUUUUUUAGUGUUGUAAGACGUCCAGGUUUAAAUGUAACUAGCAAAUCACCAAGUAGCUUUAAGAAGACGGAUACUGAAACUUUAACCGGUCAUUUUCGGUUGUAGGUGGGAGAAGUGUUCGGCGUCAGUCCCUAAGCAAGUAAAAUCACACUCAUUCCUACCCUUGUAACUAGAUAUAUACCAUUAUAAAGUACGACUAAAGUAAAGAGUAAAGCAACUAGUAGGCACAAUGAGGAAACUGUUUACUAUAAAUAUCAUGAAGACCUACUGUUUCUGAAACUCAAGACACACUUCGAGGUUUUCCUUAUGGAUAUUCUGAGGAAGUAGUUGAAUCAUUCUAACGUAUACGGGAAACGCAACGUGUCCAGGUUGCGGAGCGAGGAGAUGAGUAUCACUUUUUUUUGAAUCCAUGAGACUUUAAAUAGAAAAGAAGGGGAGUACGAAACAAUCCAAUCUAGUUAUCAAAAUAGAAUAACCUGGACACGUAAAACUCUCAGGAUUUACCCUUGUAAUUUAAAUGAACCUGGGAUAGAAUAAGAGUAUAGACAUUGAUCGAAACGAACAGUAAAUCUUCCCUGCUGGAUUCCUCAUCUCUCUAAGCUCCGUUAGUUUUAGGACGUAUACAUACAAAUGUACGCAAACUAUUAGGAUACGGUCCCGGUGUAUAUAUCCCUGUAAGUUUUAAGAUGUGGUCCAAAUGUAUAUAUCCCUGUAUAAGUCGACUCCAAGUGCAUAUAUGUUUGGACUUUGAUAUACGAAGUUUGGCCUACACCGUCAUUAGGUGAGUAGUACGUUUUGUUUUGUUUUUAGACAAUGGAUCGUACAUAAACAAACAUGUCUACUACGUUACAUGAUGUAAAACAAACGUAUUAUGUAGUGGAUCGUACAUAAAAAAUAUUAGCUCGUGGCGCUGCUUAGACAAUAAAUGGAAUCCUCCCAUUCUUUUUUGUGUUAGUUACUAUAAUAUGUAUUAAGAUCUGUAACAAAAUCUCAUACAAGACUUCAUAUAAAAAGAAGGUCAUUUACAACCUUUACAGAUACAUGAAAAAAGAGGGUUAUACAAUACCAGUAGAAGGACGAUACGUAUAUUUAAAGUACCGGUCGAAUGGUCGACCACCAACCGCUAGGAAAGAUAGAAGAAGGAGCGGCCGAGCUAUUUAGAGAACCAAAGGAAGAGGAUGGUGAUAAGGAGGGAACACGAGACAUUGAGCCGGUAACUACACCGACAAUCAUUAUUCUACCAUUAUAAACAAAAUAUCUUUAUGAACAAAAAAACGCCCACAAAUCUUUAUGAACAAUCAACGUGUCCACAUGGGACGUUCCUUAUUAAAAUGUUACCUUUACGUAUAGACAACUUAACUACUGAUUUGUUCAAACGCCCGUGUAGAGACUUUUAUGUUCGUUUAUGUCUGUAUCUAAAUUCCCAAGAGUAAGUAAAUUUAGAGUUACAACUCUCUUCGGCUAGAGACCUAUACUCAUAAAAGAAGGGACAAACGCACUAACAAAUUAACUUACCUAUUGACACAGAGGACUUAUAACAGGGUAUAUUAACAAAAUUUAGAUGGCUUAAUCAAGAGAUUUAGUCAACUAUAAAACGUUUCGAAGUUCGAAAUCAAAAACGUGAAGUACUGUAGUUAACAAACACGUCUAAGUUCUAAAUAAAGACAUGACCUACUAUCGUCACUAAUCACUAAUGACAGUGUACGACGACAAUAUAGAGGAGUCCACGGAAUCCAAACACUACGCUUUCAACAAGAUGUAUACAUUUAACAAGACAAGAAGAAAGCGGUUAUGUAAUUAUUCGGGCGCUAUGUGAAACGAAGAAAAAAUAGAUUACAGAUAAACAUCUGAUUCACAAAAUAAAUACUAUCACCUAAAGACCGCAUGUACACUUAUAGAGUACAUAUAUGUUAGUCAUGUGAGUGGACUUGCUCUUACAAUCGUUCGUCUCGCCCCAACGCAGAACAGGAAGAUCGCAGCUUCCAGGCCACGUGGGUACCCACACGGAAACGACCAAAGACUGACAGUGUUUCUUCAGUCUCGACACCCGCCGCUCCGGUGACGCCGUUGCUACUGAUACUCUUGUUAAAAGUCGUUCGCCACGAGGGGCUUACAACGCAACUAGAUGCAGUAACGCACCGAACGUUGGAAGAGGAUACUUCGGGCAUACGUUUUAGCUUUGACAGUACAGGAGCUACAACACGAGCUGAUAAGUAACAACGAAACACCGAGGCACGUAGGAGAGGUGUCAAUAUAGCAAAAAACACUACAUUAGAAUAAUCACCAACCCAGUAGGUACGCUCGGGGAAGACUUCAAACAUCAGAUCCAAUCUAUGUAGGCAUACAUCUGUUUAACUUCUGUUUAUUAUACCUUUCCUCCCUCAUAUAAUAAACUGAGUUCGUGAGUGUUGGUUGCGUGAUGUGAGUA